CCCCGUUGCGCCUAGUGUUGCGUUUCCUCCCUAAAACUGGCCCGGAGGGGUAUUCCCUCCGGGCCUCUUUUUUGCCCGCC
rnacentral:sRNA from 1 species